rnacentral:rRNA from 1 species
AUGGCGACCGGCGCACGGGUGAGUAACGCGUAUGCAACUUACCUAUCAGAGGGGGAUAGCCCGGCGAAAGUCGGAUUAAUACCCCAUAAACAGGGGUCCCGCAUGGGAAUAUUUGUUAAAGAUUCAUCGCUGAUAGAUAGGCAUGCGUUCCAUUAGGCAGUUGGCGGGGUAACGGCCCACCAAACCGACGAUGGAUAGGGGUUCUGAGAGGAAGGUCCCCCACAUUGGAACUGAGACACGGUCCAA